GAUCCUGGGCUCAGGACGAACGCUGGCGGCGUGCUUAACACAUGCAAGUCGAACGGUGACGAGGAGCUUGCUCCUCUGAUCAGUGGCGAACGGGUGAGUAACACGUGAGCAACCUGCCCCAGACUCUGGGAUAACAGUUGGAAACAGCUGCUAAUACCGGAUACGAGACGGAGAGGCAUCUCUACCGUCUGGAAAAUUUUUCGGUCUGGGAUGGACUCGCGGCCUAUCAGCUAGUUGGUGAGGUAAUGGCUCACCAAGGCGACGACGGGUAGCCGGCCUGAGAGGGCGACCGGCCACACUGGGACUGAGACACGGCCCAGACUCCUACGGGAGGCAGCAGUGGGGAAUAUUGCACAAUGGGCGAAAGCCUGAUGCAGCGACGCCGCGUGAGGGAUGACGGCCUUCGGGUUGUAAACCUCUUUCAGCAGGGAAGAAGCGAAAGUGACGGUACCUGCAAAAGAAGCACCGGCUAA
rnacentral:rRNA from 1 species